CAGUAGCGUAUAUUAAUGUUGUUGCAGUUAAAAAGCUCGUAGUUGGAUUUCUGACUUGACGCGCCUGGCCCGCCUUGCAUUUCGCGGGUGAGUGCCGGAGCGCGUCGGUCAUCCUUCUAGAGAACGGCGCUACCCUUCACUGGGUCGGCGUCGCAAUCUAGAUCUUUACUUGAAAAAAUUAGAGUGUUCAAGGCAGGCUCGCGCUGUGAAUACAUUAGCAUGGAAUAAUAAUUUAGGACUUUUGUUCUAUUUUGUUGGUUUCUAGGACGAAAGUAAUGAUUGAUAGGGAUAGUUGGGGGUGCUAGUAUUCGGCGGCCAGAGGUGAAAUUCUUUGAUCCGCUGAAGACUAACUUAUGCGAAAGCAUUCACCAAGGAUGUCUUCUUUAAUCAAGAACGAAAGUUGGGGGAUCGAAGACGAUUAGAUACCG
rnacentral:rRNA from 1 species